rnacentral:hammerhead_ribozyme from 1 species
AGUCGAAACGCCCUCCGGGGCGUCUGUCGGGGAUCGCCUCCCGGCACUGAAGAUUGAUAGGCGAGA